AAUCAACGCUGGCGGCGUGCCUCAGACAUGCAAGUCGAACGCGAAAGGUUCCUUCGGGGACCGAGUAGAGUGGCGCACGGGUGAGUAACACGUAGGUAAUUUGCCUUUGGGUGGGGAAUAACUCAGGGAAACUUGAGCUAAUACCGCAUAAUGCAGCGGCUCGACAUCGAGACAGUUGUUAAAGCGGGGGAUUCGCAAGAACCUCGCGCCUAAAGAGAAGCCUGCGGCAGAUAGCUAGUUGGUAAGGUAAUGGCUUACCAAGGCGACGAUCUGUAACCGGCCUGAGAGGGCGGUCGGUCACACUGACACUGACAUACGGGUCAGACUCCUACGGGAGGCAGCAGUCGGGAA
rnacentral:rRNA from 1 species